CUUCGUAAAAAACGUUUUUUGGUAAGGGUUUUUAUUUAUUAUCUAGUAUUUCUCCCAGCUUGAAAUGCCAGUAAAAUAAUUCUAAAUUAUCCACAGGCAUUUUUAUUGCCAUUCUCAGGCUACAUUUUACGUAAAUGUGUUCUGAUGUAAGAACCUUAUCUUUGAAUUCACGAACAAACAACCUAAAAAACUGCCUUCGUUUGUCUGCUGUUGUCCUUGACAAAAACGAUAUUACAAUAAAAUUGUAUUUUCUUGAAUAGACGUACAUCUUUCACCCAAUGAAUACGAUUUGUUAACUACAUUUCUUUAUAAAAAGUAAAUUAAAAUAGAUGAAAAUUAAUUAAUUAUUUUAAUGAGAUAAUACCUUGGUAAAAGCAUUUUGUGCACUCUGAAACUGUUUAGAUACCUACAUUUUAAAACGAAAGCAUUCAGUAUGAGAGUUAAAAUAAGUAAAUAAUUUGUGCUUCAAGAGAAUCAAAAUUACUCAUUACAUUCGCUGAUAAUUUUAGAGAAAAUUUUAUUAUCCAAACUUGCGUCUGCCUUUUAGGUGGUUAAAAUUGAUUAUAAGUUGGAUGCGAGCGACAGGGCCCUCAAGUUACCAUUUUUUUAAGAAACCUUUUUGGGGAUACAGAAAAUCUUAUUUUCCAAGUUUGAUGAAUCAGUUGUGUGUAAAAAAGUUUGCUUCAAACUAAUUUUAAGUCAAAACAUUCACGGAGGUUUUGAGGAUGUAGAUAGGACUUUUAUGCUCUGUUAAGAGAUACGAGAAACCAGUUCACCUUUCGAUGACCUUGCUUCAAUUCCGUCCAGAUGUAUAGUUUACAGGCAUUAAUAAGUCUAUCGCCUAGCAAAGUAUUGUAACACGAGCAUAAUUCGAAUGGAAUUAUUGUUGCAGUCGUCUUUUUUCAAAAACAAAGUUCCAUUUUAUAUAAAGAAGGUAAAAGAGUUUUCUCUGAAACACCUGCCCUAUGUAGUAUCUAGACAAGGAAGUCCCACUUUUUUCCUUAUAUUUCAACCAGCUUUUGACCGAAGAAAGAUAAAAUACUGGAACAUUAUACACCUCUGGACACCAUAUGUAGUUGGAUACUGAUUGUAGAAAUCCUCACUCUACCCCAAAACGUUGCAGUGUAUAUUUAUCCAUUAGAAGCAGAAACAG